rnacentral:lncRNA from 1 species
UGAAUAUCCCAUGGGCUGGUGACCCUAUUUGUAAGUACGCCCUGUCUUACAGCGCAUGGACCCUAACUGAGGAACUGCUGAUGUGAACAAUGCGCAGGAGUUGGAUGUGAGCAACAGCAGCAACUUGGUGUGGAGCUUCCUGGAGAACAGACACAGUUUUACAAAGAAAUAGCACACCUUGGAAAUGAUGCUUGUUAAGUUACAGAAGUAGUAACCAACUUUCGCCUCCUGCUGUUUUAUGUGUAUGGGUUUUCCUGGAUAGUUCUAGUGGAAAGAUGUUCAUCAUCCUGAAGAGUAUGGAAAACAUAUCUUGCAGCCAGCCAUUACGAACCGGCAUCCAUCUUACUACAAUAUAUACCAAUGAAUAAGGGCCUCCAGAAUAACAUGAGAUACAGUCUAAUCAAAAACACGUUUGGGAUCAUGCUGAGUAUCGUUGACUGAAAAUAUUGGAGCACAGCACCACUGUGGGUGUGUUACAUAAAUUGCCACAAUGGAGUGUUUUUCAGAUUCUUCAGCUGAGAGGCCAUCUGUCAUUGAAAGUGGCACAUUCACCUGCUCAUCACUUCUGCAGCAGUCUGUGUGCUAGACAGGGUACAUCCAGAUGAAGUUAACAACAGGAGCAGCUCUUCAUACAGCUGAGUUUGGAAAGACUUAGUAAUCAAGUCACUCCUUCAGAUGGGAGCAAACACCGCAAAUAGAUCGCUCUUUCUAUCCAAGAGAACAGCAAGUGCUUUCCGCUUUGCUUCAGAAAAGAGCAAACUAGUUCCCUGAGGGAUGUUUUUCUACUCAGUAGAAUCCAGCAUUGCCUCCGUGGGCACUUGUCUACCAUUCCUGACCUGCAGCACAUAGGGCCUCCACGACUGAAAAAUGAAGAUGACUGUAAGAGCUCUGAUGAACCUGUUUGGACAACAGACAGCAACAAAUACCUGUCUCGGUGGAGGAGUUUAAGAGCACUGCAGAGAUUCUCAGACAGUACAGAAUAUCUUGGCUCGCACAGGCCACUCUCUUUAUCUCAAAACAAUACCAGCCAAGCUCCUCUGUACCUACAACUGAAGAGCUGCAGGAACAGGAGGACAGUAGCUAACACAGCUUUUAAAUUGAAUCUCCUUGUCUUAUUAAAAAAAGAAAAAGAAAGAAAAAGAAAAAAAGAAAAAGACAUGCAUUCUAAGCAAGAUGAGGUAUCUGAUUCCAAGGAAGAAAACUAUGCACGGCAGGUUGAAGCUACAGGGGCAGUCCUGACUGGUUUUUCUCCAUCCAGCUACUUUACUUACGGCCCUUUGAAACCAGCAGUUCCUGUGGAUCAGGACUUAAAGUGAUCAUGUAUCAAAAGUGUAAUCUGCAAGAGCAACAUGAACUGGUGAAAUGUACCUCUGAUGCUGGUUUCCUAUGUUAUUUUGUAGAAUUUUUGUAAUUAUCUUGCUGAGUCGUAAUCCCUGACAUUUGCUUUCACAAAGCAUCUAGUGGAGAAUGCAAUACCCUAAUUAUGUUUCUGUGAAAGAGUUGAGGGGAAAAAAAAGUUGCGCUCUUUAGCACAGCAUUUUAAAGAAAAGCUGUUUCAUGAAUAGUAUAUAUAUCAAAUUUUGCGAAGGCUAGGGAUACUUUACCAACUGUAGUUCCUGGUUGUUUUAUAUCACAGUAUAUCAACAUAGUUGAACAUAUGUUAAUCGUAAGUUCUUUUCUAAACUGCGUGCUGUACUUGCCUACAUCCUAAGCAAAAUAGGCACUGGCUCCAGCCUAAAUAUUUUUCUAUAUUUAUGUUUGCUAUCUUAUGUUUUUAAGUAUUUUCUGAGAUGGAUAAGUAUUUUCUGAGAUAGUUACCACAUUUUAAAUAAAUAUCUUUUGUUUAAAAAAAAAUCCGUGCUU